AGAGUUUGAUCAUGGCUCAGAGUGAACGCUGGCGGCGUGCCUAACACAUGCAAGUCGAACGAGAACGGAUUACAGCUUGCUGUAAUUGUCAGCUAAGUGGCGCACGGGUGAGUAAUAUAUAGUUAAUCUGCCCCAAAGAAGAGAAUAAUUGUUGGAAACGACUUGUAAUGCUCUAUAUGCCUUUAAGACAUAAGUCUGCAAGGGAAAUAUUUAUAGCUUUGGGAUGAGACUGUACGGUAUCAGCUAGUUGGUGAGGUAAUGGCUCACCAAGGCUAUGACAUCUAACUGGUUUGAGAGGAUGAUCAGUCACACUGGAACUGAGACACGGUCCAGACUCCUACGGGAGGCAGCAGUGGGGAAUAUUGCACAAUGGAGGAAACUCUGGUGCAGCAACGCCGCGUGGAGGAUGACACAUUUCGGUGCGUAAACUCCUUUUAUAUGAGAAGAUAAUGACGGUA
rnacentral:rRNA from 1 species